AGAGUUUGAUCCUGGCUCAGAAUGAACGCUGGCGGCGUGCUUUACACAUGCAAGUUGAGCGAGGCCGGUAGCAAUACCGAGUCGAGCGGCGAACGGGUGAGUAACGCGUGGAUAACCUGCCCUGAGAUGGGGAAUAACCCGGGGAAACUCGGGCUAAUACCGCAUGAUACCGAGAGGUCAAAGAGGGGUCGCAAGAUCUCUUGUCACAGGAGGGGUCCGCGUUCGAUUAGCUAGUUGGUAGGGUAAUGGCCUACCAAGGCGACGAUCGAUAGGCGGCCUGAGAGGGUGAUCGGCCACACUGGAACUGAGACACGGUCCAGACUCCUACGGGGAGGCAGCAGUGGGGGAAUUUUGGCGCGAUGGGCUAACGCCUGGACGCAGCAACGGCCGGGUGGAGGAUGGAAGGUCUUUGGAUUGUAAACUCCUGUCACCAGGAAAAAGGGGAUAGGGGGCUAAUACCGCUUAAACUUUGAUUUGUACCCUGCAGGGGAAGCCCCGGGCUAACUUCUGGUGCCGGCAGCCCGCCGGUAAUUACAGAGGGGGGCAAGCCGUGAAUUCGGAAUUAUUGGGGCGUAAAGGGCGCGUAAGCGGGCUUUUUCAAGUUGACGGGGGAAAUCCCUCCGGCUUAACCGAGGAACUGCCUGGUCAAACUGGAACGUCUUGCACGACCGGAGACCGUAUAGUGGAGUGCUGGAAUCUCCGCACGUUAGCGGGAAAUGCAAUAUGUGGGAAACACAGUGGCGAAGGCGGGCUCACUGGACCGGAAUCUACGCUGAGGCGCGAAAGUCGCUGGCGACGCAACCAGGUUUAGAUCCCUUGUUGUCCCCGCUGUAAACGGAUGACUUCUUGAUGUAGCGGGAUAUCGACCCCUUCCUGUGCCGAUGUUCACCCCAUUAAGCCAUCUCCCGCCUUGGGGAGUACUGUCGCAAGCUUGAAACUUCAAAAGGAAUUGACGGGGGCCCCCGCCACCACGCGGGUGGACCAUUGUUGUUUUAAUUUCGAAGCAACCGCCGCAAGACCCUUUACCCUGGGUUUUGAACUUCCAGAGGAAAAGUUUCAGAGAUGAAGAGCCUUCCCUUCGGGGAUUUCUGGAGGAGGUGCUGCAGGGCGGUCGUCCAGCCUCGUCCCCCUGAGAUGUUGGGUUAAGUCCCCGCAACGAGCCCCAACCCUUAUUCAUUAGUUACUAACCGUGUAAUGGGCGAGAACUCUAUGGAGACCGCCCGGUGAUAAACCCGGAGGAAGGUGGGGAUGACGUCAAGUCCUCAUGGCCUUUAUGUCCAGGGCUACACACGUGCUACAAUGGACGGUACAGAGAGAUGCGAGACCGUGAGGUGGAGUAAAUCUCAAAAAGCCGUUCUCAGUUCGGAUUGCACUCUGCAACUCGAGUGCAUGAAGUUGGAAUCGCUAGUAAUCGCGGAUCAGCACGCCGCGGUGAAUACGUUCCCGGGCCUUGUACACACCGCCCGUCACAUCACGAAAGUCGGUUGCACUAGAAGUCGGUGGGCUAACCCGUAAGGGAGGCAGCCGCCUAAAGUGUGAUCGGUAAUUGGGGUGAAGUCGUAACAAGGUAACC
rnacentral:rRNA from 1 species